rnacentral:rRNA from 1 species
AGUAUCUGUGGAUUAAAGGUGGCUUUUGGGCUGUCGCAGAUGGAUGAGCCUGCGUUGGAUUAGCUAGUUGGUGGGGUAAGGGCCUACCAAGGCUACGAUCCAUAGCUGAUUUGAGAGGAUGAUCAGCCACAUUGGGACUGAGACACGGCCCAAACUCCUACGGGAGGCAGCAGUGAGGAAUAUUGGACAAUGGGGGCAACCCUGAUCCAGCAAUGCCAUGUGUGUGAAGAAGGCCUUAGGGUUGUAAAGCACUUUAGUUGGGGAAGAAAGCUUUGAGGUUAAUAGCCUUGAGGAAAAGGACGUUACCCAAAGAAUAAGCACCGGCUAACUCCGUGCCAGCAGCCGCGGUAAUACGGGGGGUGCAAGCGUUAAUCGGAAUUACUGGGCGUAAAGGGUCUGUAGGUGGUUUGUUAAGUCAGAUGUGAAAGCCUAGGGCUCAACCUUGGAACUGCAUUUGAUACUGGUAAACUAGAGUACGGUAGAGGAAUGGGGAAUUUCUGGUGUAGCGGUGAAAUGCGUAGAGAUCAGAAGGAACACCAAUGGCGAAGGCAACAUUCUGGACCGAUACUGACACUGAGGGACGAAAGCGUGGGGAUCAAACAGGAUUAGAUACCCUGGUAGUCCACGCUGUAAACGAUGAGUACUAGCUGUUGGAGUCGGUGUAAAGGCUCUAGUGGCGCAGCUAACGCGAUAAGUACUCCGCCUGGGGACUACGGCCGCAAGGCUAAAACUCAAAGGAAUUGACGGGGACCCGCACAAGCGGUGGAGCAUGUAGUUUAAUUCGAUGCAACGCGAAGAACCUUACCUGGUCUUGACAUCCUGCGAUCUUUCUAGAGAUAGAUUGGUGCCUUCGGGAACGCAGUGACAGGUGCUGCACGGCUGUCGUCAGCUCGUGUUGUGAAAUGUUGGGUUAAGUCCCGCAACGAGCGCAACCCCUAUUGAUAGUUACCAUCAUUAAGUUGGGUACUCUAUUAAGACUGCCGCUGACAAGGCGGAGGAAGGUGGGGACGACGUCAAGUCAUCAUGGCCCUUACGACCAGGG